rnacentral:rRNA from 1 species
UACGAAGGGGGCAAGCGUUGUUCGGAAUUACUGGGCGUAAAGGGCUCGUAGGUGGCCAACUAAGUCAGACGUGAAAUCCCCAGGCUUAACCUGGGAACUGCGUCUGAUACUGGAUGGCUUGAAUUCGGGAGAGGGAUGCAGAAUUCCAGGUGUAGCGGUGAAAUGCGUAGAUAUCUGGAGGAAUACCGGUGGCGAAGGCGGCAUCCUGGACCGAGAUUGACACUGAGGAGCGAAAGCUAGGGGAGCAAACGGG